rnacentral:rRNA from 1 species
UGCCGUGGGCGUUGGAAGAUUGAAGGGGGCUGCUCCUAGUACGAGAGGACCGGAGUGGACGAACCUCUGGUGUUCGGGUUGUGUCGCCAGACGCAUUGCCCGGUAGCUAAGUUCGGAAUCGAUAACCGCUGAAAGCAUCUAAGCGGGAAGCGAGCCCUGAGAUGAGUCUUCCCUGAUACUUUAAGUAUCCUAAAGGGUUGUCGGAGACUACGACGUUGAUAGGUCAGGUGUGUAAGUGCUGUGAGGCAUU